rnacentral:rRNA from 1 species
UGAGCAAUCUGCCCUUCUCAUCGGAAUAAGCGUUGGAAACGACGUCUAAUGCCGAAUACGACCUCCUUUCGCAUGAUCGGAGGUGGAAAGCUCCGGCGGAGAAGGAUGAGCUCGCGGCCUAUCAGCUAGUUGGUGUGGGUAACGCCCACCAAGGCGACGACGGGUAGCCGGCCUGAGAGGGUGACCGGCCACACUGGGACUGAGACACGGCCUAGACCUCCUACGGGAGGNAGCG